UCAGGACGAACGCUGGCGGCGUGCCUAAUGCAUGCAAGUCGCACGAUCAACCCUUCGGGGUUGGGAGUGGCGCACGGCUGAGGAACACGUGGGCGACCUGCCCUGGUGUGGGGGACAACGUACCGAAAGUGUGCGCUAAUCCCGCAUACGCUCCUACGGGAGGAAAGCAGCGAUGCGCACCAGGAGGGGCCUGCGGCCCAUCAGGUGGUUGGUGAGGUAACGGCUCACCAAGCCGAUGACGGGUCCCUGGUCUGAGAGGACGACCAGGCAGACUGGGACUGAGACACGGCCCAGACUCCUACGGGAGGCAGCAGCAAGGGAUUUUCCGCAAUGGGCGCAAGCCUGACGGAGCAACGCCGCGUGCCGGAGGACGGCCUUCGGGUUGUAAACGGCUUUUAUCGGGGAAGAAACGGACGGUACCCGAGGAAUAAGCCCCGGCUAACUCCGUGCCAGCAGCCGCGGUAAUACGGAGGGGGCAAGCGUUGUCCGGACUUACUGGGCGUAAAGCGUGCGUAGGCGGCAGGGUGCGUCGGUGCUGAAAGCGCCCCGCUUAACGGGGCGAGGGGUACCGAUACGACCCCGCUCGAGGCAGUCAGAGGUUGGUAGAAUUCCGGGUGUAGUUGUGAAAUGCGUAGAUACCCGGAGGAAUGCCGGUGGCGAAAGCGACCAACUGGGGCUGGCCUGACGCUGAGGCACGAAAGCGUGGGGAGCGAACCGGAUUAGAUACCCGGGUAGUCCACGCCGUAAACGAUGUCGGCUUGGUGUUCGGCAGUAUGAAAGUGCUGCUGAGUGCCGAAGCUCACGCGCUAAGCCGACCGCCUGGGGACUACGAGCGCAAGCUUAAAACUCAAAGGAAUUGACGGGGGCCCGCACAAGCAGCGGAGCGUGUGGUUUAAUUCGACGCAACGCGAAGAACCUUACCCAGGUUUGACAUGUGGCUGCAAGCGCACAGAAAUGUGUGACCUUCGAGGGUGCCACACAGGUGCUGCAUGGCUGUCGNUCAGCUCGUGUCGUGAGAUGUUUGGGUUAAGUCCCGCACGAGCGCACCCCUGCUGCCAGUUACUGUGUCUGGUGGGACUGCCUUCGCUAAUGGAGGAGGAAGGCGGGGAUGACGUCAAGUCCGCAUGGCCCUUACACCUGGGCGACACACACGCACAAUGGCCAGCACAAUGCGUCGCAAGCACGCAAGGUAGCUAAUCGCCGAAAGCUGUCUCAGACAGAUCGGGGCGCACUCGCCCCCGGAAGUGGAGUUGCUAGUAACCGCGUAUCAGCCA
rnacentral:rRNA from 1 species